AUACUUACCUGGCAGGGGAGAUACCAUGAUCACGAAGGUGGUUUUCCCAGGGCGAGGCUUAUCCAUUGCACUCCGGAUGUGCUGACCCCUGCGAUUUCCCCAAAUGUGGGAAACUCGACUGCAUAANNN
rnacentral:snRNA from 1 species